CAGGCCUAACACAUGCAAGUCGAACGAGUGCCUUCGGGUGCUAGUGGCGCACGGGUGCGUAACGCGUGGGAAUCUGCCCUUAGGUUCGGAAUAACAGUUAGAAAUGACUGCUAAUACCGGAUGAUGACGUAAGUCCAAAGAUUUAUCGCCUGAGGAUGAGCCCGCGUAGGAUUAGCUAGUUGGUGUGGUAAAGGCGCACCAAGGCGACGAUCCUUAGCUGGUCUGAGAGGAUGAUCAGCCACACUGGGACUGAGACACGGCCCAGACUCCUACGGGAGGCAGCAGUGGGGAAUAUUGGACAAUGGGCGCAAGCCUGAUCCAGCAAUGCCGCGUGAGUGAUGAAGGCCUUAGGGUUGUAAAGCUCUUUUACCCGUGAUGAUAAUGACAGUAGCGGGAGAAUAAGCCCCGGCUAACUCCGUGCCAGCAGCCGCGGUAAU
rnacentral:rRNA from 1 species